UACGAAGGGGGCGAGCGUUGUUCGGAAUCACUGGGCGUAAAGGGCGCGUAGGCGGCCUUCUAAGUCAGACGUGAAAUCCCUCGGCUCAACCGAGGAACUGCGUCUGAUACUGGAAGGCUUGAAUCCGGGAGAGGGAUGUGGAAUUCCAGGUGUAGCGGUGAGAUGCGUAGAUAUCUGGAGGAACACCGGUGGCGAAGGCGGCAUCCUGGACCAACACUGACACUGAGGAGCGAAAGCCAGGGGAGCAAACGGG
rnacentral:rRNA from 1 species